rnacentral:rRNA from 1 species
GAUGAACGCUGGCGGCGUGCCUAAUACAUGCAAGUCGAGCGAACAGACGAGGAGCUUGCUCCUCUGACGUUAGCGGCGGACGGGUGAGUAACACGUGGAUAACCUACCUAUAAGACUGGGAUAACUUCGGGAAACCGGAGCUAAUACCGGAUAACAUGUUGAACCGCAUGGUUCAACAGUGAAAGACGGUCUUGCCGUCACUUAUAGAUGGAUCCGCGCCGCAUUAGCUAGUUGGUAAGGUAACGGCUUACCAAGGCAACGAUGCGUAGCCGACCUGAGAGGGUGAUCGGCCACACUGGAACUGAGACACGGUCCAGACUCCUACGGGAGGCAGCAGUAGGGAAUCUUCCGCAAUGGGCGAAAGCCUGACGGAGCAACGCCGCGUGAGUGAAGAAGGUCUUCGGAUCGUAAAACUCUGUUAUUAGGGAAGAACAGAUGUGUAAGUAACUAUGCACGUCUUGACGGUACCUAAUCAGAAAGCCACGGCUAACUACGUG